rnacentral:snRNA from 1 species
GGAUGUGGCGGCGAUCUGGCUGCAACAUCUGUCACUCCAUUGAUCGCUAGGGUUGAUUCGACUGACCUGGCGGGCUAGAUGGGUGUCCCCUUCCUCCCUCCAUGUGCCUCCCUCCCUAAGCUCCACACUUGGUGGAAGAGGCUGACCAUCCCAGAUCGAUACCUAUGUAUGUUCUGCUGAUUCAGUAGCUCUACUGUAGUCAUGAUUUACUCCUGGAUUUUAGCCCGCAUCUUACUGGUGUUGAUGUCCUGAGACUGGUUGUUGAAUUACGCCAUACACAACACAUUGUUGAGGUGAAAUGGAUG